rnacentral:rRNA from 1 species
AGCGCAGGCGGACUUUCAAGUCGGUGGUGAAAUCUUACAGCUUAACUGUAAAACUGCCUCCGAUACUGUCAGUCUUGAGUGUGGAAGAGGGCGAUGGAAUUCAUGGUGUAGCGGUGAAAUGCGUAGAUAUCAUGAAGAACACCGGUCGCGAAGGCGGUCGCCUGGUCCAUUACUGACGCUCAUGCUCGAAGUGUGGGGAGCAAACAGGAUUAGAUACCCUGGUAGUCCACACCUUAAACGAUGAAUACUUGGUGUCGGGUCGAAAGGCUCGGUGCCAAAGCCAACGCAUUAAGUAUUCCACCUGGGGAGUACGAUCGCAGGUUAGAA